CAAUAGCGUAUAUUAAAGUUGUUGCAGUUAAAAAGCUCGUAGUUGGAUUUCUGUUGAGAGCAGCCGGUCUGCACUUGGUGCAUGUAUCUGGUUUGAUCUCGGCAUCCUCUCAAAAUACGUUUCUGCGCUUGAUUGCGUGGAGCGGAGUUUGGGACUUUUACUUUGAGGAAAUUAGAGUGUUCACGGCAGGCAAUCGCCUUGAAUAUAUUAGCAUGGAAUAAUAAUAUAGGAUCUUGGUUCUAUUUUGUUGGUUUCUAGAGCUAAGAUAAUGAUUAAUAGGGACAAUUGGGGGCAUUCGUAUUAACGCGUCAGAGGUGGAAUUCUUGGAUUUAUGAAAGACGGACUACUGCGAAAGCAUUUGCCAAGGAUGUUUUCAUUGA
rnacentral:rRNA from 1 species